UUUCAAAUUUCUAAGAGCAAACGGUGGAUGCCUUGGCAUCUGGAGCCGAAGAAGGACGUAGUAAUCUGCGAUAAGCCUCGGGGAGCUGAUAAACGAGCUGUGAUCCGAGGAUUUCCGAAUGGGGAAACCCCGCCAG
rnacentral:rRNA from 1 species